UGCGUAGGUGGUCUCGUACGUCGGAUGUGAAAGCCCGUGGCCCAACCACGGAACUGCUUCCGAAACGGCGGAACUGGAGUGCAGGAGGGGAGAGCGGAAUUCUUGGUGUAGCGGUGAAAUGCGUUGAUAUCAAGAAGAACACCGGUGGCGAAGGCGGCUCUCUGGAAUGUUACUGACACUGAGGCACGAAAGCUGGGGGAGCAAACAGGAUUAGAUACCCUGGUAGUCC
rnacentral:rRNA from 1 species